GACUGAGGUUACCUUGUUACAUAAGGUUGAGUUAUACCUUCACGUUCUCCUGAGCCAGGAUCAAACUCUUCAGUCAUGACUGACUGAGGUUACCUUGUUACGACUUCACCCCAAUCAUCGCCCCCACCUUCGACGGUCGGUUCCUUUCGGCCCUUAGCCGGCUUCGGGUGUGAAUGACUUUCGUGGUGUGACGGGCGGUGUGUACAAGGCCCGGGAACGUAUUCACCGCAGUAUGCUGACCUGCGAUACUAACGAUCCGACUCAUGCAAGCGAAUUUUAA
rnacentral:rRNA from 1 species